rnacentral:ncRNA from 1 species
CCCUAAACCUACACAUGCAAGUCUCAGCACUCCUGUGAGGACGCCCUUCUUUCUAACCCAGACUUAGGAGCCGGCAUCAGGCACUAAAAUCGCCCACAACGCCUAGUCCCACCACACCUUCAAUGGUUUUCAGCAGUGAUUAAUAUUGUUUAUAAGUGUUAACUUGAACCAGUUAUAGGGAAGAGAGCUGGCCAACUCGGUGCCAGCCGCCGCGGCUAAACCGCACGAGCUCAAGUUGAUAGCUUUCGGCGUUAAGCGUGAUUAAAGAUCUUUAUUAGUUAGAGUCAAACCUAAACUCAGCUGUAAUAAGCUUGUUGUUGAGAAAAACAAGUACGAAAGUUACUCUAAUAAACUUGAAUACACGACAGUCGGGAAACAAACUGGGAUUAGAUACCCCACUAUGCCCCACCGUAAAAUAUAUACUUACAAAACUAACGCCAGGGUAUUACGAGCCUCAGCUUAAAACCCAAAGGACUUGACGGUGUCCCAUCCAACUAGAGGAGCCUGUUCUAUAAUCGAUAACCCCCGAUAUACCCAACCCCCCCUUGCCAAUCAGCCUGUAUACAUCCGUCGCAAAUUUACCAUAUGAAUGCUAACAGUAAAUUUAAUGAUUUAUCACCAAUACGUCAGGUCAAGGUGCAGCUCAUGAUGGGGAAAGCAAUGGGCUACAAUUUCUAAAAUAGAACCACGGAAUGCUCCAUGAAACACAGCAUGAAGACGGAUUUAGUAGUAAAAAGUAAAUAAAGUGUUCUUUUUAAUAAGGCCCUGGGACGUGUACACACCGCCCGUCACCCUCUUCAACAGCACAUAAUAUGUUUUUAACAAGUUCUGCACUCUAGAAGAGGCAAGUCGUAACAUGGUAAGUGUACUGGAAGGUGCACUUGGAUUAC